AUUGAACGCUGGCGGCAGGCUUAACACAUGCAAGUCGAGCGGAGAGAGGUAGCUUGCUACCGAUCUUAGCGGCGGACGGGUGAGUAAUGCUUAGGAAUCUGCCUAUUAGUGGGGGACAACAUUUCGAAAGGAAUGCUAAUACCGCAUACGUCCUACGGGAGAAAGCAGGGGAUCUUCGGACCUUGCGCUAAUAGAUGAGCCUAAGUCGGAUUAGCUAGUUGGUGGGGUAAAGGCCUACCAAGGCGACGAUCUGUAGCGGGUCUGAGAGGAUGAUCCGCCCCACUGGGACUGAGAAACGGCCCAGAAUCCGACGGGAGGAAGCAGUGGGGAAUAUUGGAAAAUGGGCGCAAGCCUGAUCCAGCCAUGCCGCGUGUGUGAAGAAGGCCUUAUGGUUGUAAAGCACUUUAAGCGAGGAGGAGGCUACUUUAGUUAAUACCUAGGGAUAGUGGACGUUACUCGCAGAAUAAGCACCGGCUAACUCUGUGCCAGCCGCCGCCGUAAUAC
rnacentral:rRNA from 1 species